CCUACGGGAGGCAGCAGUGGGGAAUAUUGGACAAUGGGCGAAAGCCUGAUCCAGCCACGCCGCGUGUGUGAAGAAGGUCUUCGGAUUGUAAAGCACUUUAAGUUGGGAGGAAGGGCAUUAACCUAAUACGUUAGUGUUUUGACGUUACCGACAGAAUAAGCACCGGCUAACUCUGUGCCAGCAGCCGCGGUAAU
rnacentral:rRNA from 1 species